GGGAGCCGAAGGGAAACCGAGUCUUAACUGGGCGUUAAGUUGCAGGGUAUAGACCCGAAACCCGGUGAUCUAGCCAUGGGCAGGUUGAAGGUUGGGUAACACUAACUGGAGGACCGAACCGACUAAUGUUGAAAAAUUAGCGGAUGACUUGUGGCUGGGGGUGAAAGGCCAAUCAAACCGGGAGAUAGCUGGUUCUCCCCGAAAGCUAUUUAGGUAGCGCCUCGUGAAUUCAUCUCCGGGGGUAGAGCACUGUUUCGGCAAGGGGGUCAUCCCGACUUACCAACCCGAUGCAAACUGCGAAUACCGGAGAAUGUUAUCACGGGAGACACACGGCGGGUGCUAACGUCCGUCGUGAAGAGGGAAACAACCCAGACCGCCAGCUAAGGUCCCAAAGUCAUGGUUAAGUGGGAAACGAUGUGGGAAGGCCCAGACAGCCAGGAUGUUGGCUUAGAAGCAGCCAUCAUUUAAAGAAAGCGUAAUAGCUCACUGGUCGAGUCGGCCUGCGCGGAAGAUGUAACGGGGCUAAACCAUGCACCGAAGCUGCGGCAGCGACACUGUGUGUUGUUGGGUAGGGGAGCGUUCUGUAAGCCUGUGAAGGUGUGCUGUGAGGCAUGCUGGAGGUAUCAGAAGUGCGAAUGCUGACAUAAGUAACGAUAAAGCGGGUGAAAAGCCCGCUCGCCGGAAGACCAAGGGUUCCUGUCCAACGUUAAUCGGGGCAGGGUGAGUCGACCCCUAAGGCGAGGCCGAAAGGCGUAGUCGAUGGGAAACAGGUUAAUAUUCCUGUACUUGGUGUUACUGCGAAGGGGGGACGGAGAAGGCUAUGUUGGCCGGGCGACGGUUGUCCCGGUUUAAGCGUGUAGGCUGGUUUUCCAGGCAAAUCCGGAAAAUCAAGGCUGAGGCGUGAUGACGAGGCACUACGGUGCUGAAGCAACAAAUGCCCUGCUUCCAGGAAAAGCCUCUAAGCAUCAGGUAACAUCAAAUCGUACCCCAAACCGACACAGGUGGUCAGGUAGAGAAUACCAAGGCGCUUGAGAGAACUCGGGUGAAGGAACUAGGCAAAAUGGUGCCGUAACUUCGGGAGAAGGCACGCUGAUAUGUAGGUGAAGUCCCUCGCGGAUGGAGCUGAAAUCAGUCGAAGAUACCAGCUGGCUGCAACUGUUUAUUAAAAACACAGCACUGUGCAAACACGAAAGUGGACGUAUACGGUGUGACGCCUGCCCGGUGCCGGAAGGUUAAUUGAUGGGGUCAGCGCAAGCGAAGCUCUUGAUCGAAGCCCCGGUAAACGGCGGCCGUAACUAUAACGGUCCUAAGGUAGCGAAAUUCCUUGUCGGGUAAGUUCCGACCUGCACGAAUGGCGUAAUGAUGGCCAGGCUGUCUCCACCCGAGACUCAGUGAAAUUGAACUCGCUGUGAAGAUGCAGUGUACCCGCGGCAAGACGGAAAGACCCCGUGAACCUUUACUAUAGCUUGACACUGAACAUUGAGCCUUGAUGUGUAGGAUAGGUGGGAGGCUUUGAAGUGUGGACGCCAGUCUGCAUGGAGCCGACCUUGAAAUACCACCCUUUAAUGUUUGAUGUUCUAACGUGGACCCGUGAUCCGGGUUGCGGACAGUGUCUGGUGGGUAGUUUGACUGGGGCGGUCUCCUCCUAAAGAGUAACGGAGGAGCACGAAGGUUGGCUAAUCCUGGUCGGACAUCAGGAGGUUAGUGCAAUGGCAUAAGCCAGCUUGACUGCGAGCGUGACGGCGCGAGCAGGUGCGAAAGCAGGUCAUAGUGAUCCGGUGGUUCUGAAUGGAAGGGCCAUCGCUCAACGGAUAAAAGGUACUCCGGGGAUAACAGGCUGAUACCGCCCAAGAGUUCAUAUCGACGGCGGUGUUUGGCACCUCGAUGUCGGCUCAUCACAUCCUGGGGCUGAAGUAGGUCCCAAGGGUAUGGCUGUUCGCCAUUUAAAGUGGUACGCGAGCUGGGUUUAGAACGUCGUGAGACAGUUCGGUCCCUAUCUGCCGUGGGCGCUGGAGAACUGAGGGGGGCUGCUCCUAGUACGAGAGGACCGGAGUGGACGCAUCACUGGUGUUCGGGUUGUCAUGCCAAUGGCACUGCCCGGUAGCUAAAUGCGGAAGAGAUAAGUGCUGAAAGCAUCUAAGCACGAAACUUGCCCCGAGAUGAGUUCUCCCUGACCCUUUAAGGGUCCUGAAGGAACGUUGAAGACGACGACGUUGAUAGGCCGGGUGUGUAAGCGCAGCGAUGCGUUGAGCUAACCGGUACUAAUGAACCGUGAGGCUUAACCUU
rnacentral:rRNA from 1 species